CUUGGUCAUUAGAGGAAGUAAAAGUCGUAACAAGGUCUCCGUUGGUGAACCAGCGGAGGGAUCAUUACCGAGUUUACAACUCCCAAACCCCUGUGAACAUACCAAUUGUUGCCUCGGCGGAUCAGCCCGCUCCCGGUAAAACGGGACGGCCCGCCAGAGGACCCCUAAACUCUGUUUCUAUAUGUAACUUCUGAGUAAAACCAUAAAUAAAUCAAAACUUUCAACAACGGAUCUCUUGGUUCUGGCAUCGAUGAAGAACGCAGCAAAAUGCGAUAAGUAAUGUGAAUUGCAGAAUUCAGUGAAUCAUCGAAUCUUUGAACGCACAUUGCGCCCGCCAGUAUUCUGGCGGGCAUGCCUGUUCGAGCGUCAUUUCAACCCUCAAGCCCAGCUUGGUGUUGGGACUCGCGAGUUAAAUCGCGUUCCCCAAAUUGAUUGGCGGUCACGUCGAGCUUCCAUAGCGUAGUAGUAAAACCCUCGUUACUGGUAAUCGUCGCGGCCACGCCGUUAAACCCCAACUUCUGAAUGUUGACCUCGGAUCAGGUAGGAAUACCCGCUGAACUUAAGCAUAUCAAUAAGCGGAGG
rnacentral:rRNA from 1 species